CCGCGGGGCCCGGGGCCGGUCGGGUCGGGCCGGGGGGCGAGAGGGUGCCAGCGGCCGCAGCUGAAGUUGGGCCGAGAGCCGGCGACGGCCCCGCGCCGGGGUCGCAGGUGACGCGCGAGGGAUCCCAGGGUACCAGUGUGCGGAGUUCCUGUUGCCAAGCUGAAGGUGGCCCUGGGCAGGCACAGGUGUGGUCAUAUCUUCAGCCAACAGGACCAUCCUCCGGAGGGCCACCUCUGGGGACUUCCUACGGGAAGAGAGUGACAGAUUUGGUGCUUCUGUGUGUUUCUGCCGCUUCAGUGGGGCCGCUGCGGGAGACAGCGGGUGGAUCCUCCAGCAGCCUGUCUGCUGAGCCUGCCUUCUCAAGUCUACUGUUAAAAUCAGGACCGGGUCGUGUCCGAGCCUACAGGCCCUGUCUCCGCUCCCCAGGCCUGCAGGAGUUGAGGGCUGCACCUGCUCGCUGGAGAGGGAGAGGCAGAUUUAGUGGACGCCUGGCAUGGACUCGGACUGGCCUUUGGAAGCUCCCUGCCCUGACGGGGUUGCCUGUCACCACUGCGAAGUGAGGCUUGGCAGGACCUGCACCUGAGAAAGGCUGUGUGUGGUCUUGGGGUCCACACCUGCAGAGCUAACUUACUGCCAGACGGCGACUUACUGUGGGCCACCCUCAGUGAACCGGGGUGUCCUCAGCUGGCCCUACAGAGCACUUCUGUGCUGGGGAUGAGUAGGAACUCUGGGCGAGGAGGGUCCCAGCGCCGCCCCUCGAUACAGCCUGGCUCUGCCCUCUGCCCGUACUUACACCAGGUGGGAUCCCUGCCCUGCAUUGCCUGGGGAUUGGCUGGGCUUGGGCCCGCCCUGCUGUGGAACUGGAUGUUUUCAGGGAGCCCAGCCUUUCCUCAUGUCAACACAGUUCACAAUAUAGUUUUCAAAGUACAGUUUAAAACUCAAAAGUAAACUUUUCAGCAACUCAAAGGUUUGCUGAGUGAUCUGAAGCACUCUGGCCACUUUUUGGGGCCAUGGGAUUUGGUUCACCUGAAACAGCCAGUGAGAGGCCGGGUGUGGUGGCUCACACCCGUAAUCCCAACACUUCAGGAGGCAGACGCGGGUGAUCGCUCACUUGAGAUCAGGAGUUCAAGACCAGCCUGGGCAACAUGGUGAAACCUCGUCUCUACUAAAAAUACAAAAAUUAGCUAGGCAUGGUGGUGGGCACCUGUAAUCCCAGCUACUUGGAAGGCUGAGGCAAGAGAAUCGCUUGAACCUGGGAGGUGGAGGUUGCAGCGAGACGAGAUUACGCCGCUGCACUCCAGCCUGGGUGACGAGAGACUCUGCCUCAAAAAAAUAAAAAAAUGAAACAGCCAGUGAGGAGGAAGGCUCCCCGCCUUCCCCCCGCCGGAACAUAGCCAUAGCUGCUGCUGGGACACCCUCUUGGUGGGGAAGAAGGCUGGUUAGCUUCAUCAGAGCCAGCAGCAGCAGACCAGGGACGGGCACCUAGGCAGUGGCCUCAGAGUGAACAGGAGUUCCUCAGAAACACACACAGGGACGGCGUGGCGCAUGCUCUGCCAGCUCCAUGCCUCCUUCCCAUUGUGGGGCUGGGGUACGUAGGGCAGAGCUCAUGACCUCCGGGAGGACAUGGGGGUGGGCUCUGGAUGGCACCUGGCAUUGCCCCCUGCUGGCCUAUGUGACGGUGUGGAGGGCUGGUCACAGAGGUACGACCAUCCCUCCAGAAUGUGGGUCGGGGCUGUGGAUGGAGGAGUAGGCCCCUCAUAUCCCAGGCCUGCUGCCCAGGCACAACCCACUUGGCCUAUGCAUUCCAGGCUCCAUCCCAUGUGACUCUGGGCUUAGCCCCUUCUGGGGCCACAGGUCAGGCAGGUCCAGGCCCCAAGGACCUCCCAGUGACAGGCGACUGUGAGCUGGGCAGACAGGAGUGAAGUCAGGUGGGGGUUCUGGCUUGCUGACACCAGCGUUUGGAGCCUCCUGCUGCUGCCUGGCUUCCCUGCAUUCCCUGUUCCCUGCCUCAGGCAAGAAAUAACCAAGCCGAGUUGCCUCUGCACAGCAGUGAGCUCCUGGUGGCCCUGGCUUCUGGGGAGCCCUGUGGAUGGCUUCCUUGCCCAAGUCCAGGCCUUCUUGUUCCCUUUGUGUGCUCCAGAGAAAGGGGGCAGCACCAGAUCCAGAUCCAGGGCCAACCAACAGAAAGCUGAGUCCAUCCCAAACUCGCCCAUUCUCAGAGCACAAAGACCCCAUGAUCUAGGGCAAACUUGUCCAACUGUUGGCCCAUGGAACAGCUUUGAAUGCAGCCCAACACAAAUCUAUAAAUUUUCUUAAACAUU
rnacentral:lncRNA from 1 species